rnacentral:ncRNA from 1 species
CCCUCCGAAGUUUCCCUUUGGUUAGUUGAAGUUUGCAUGCAACUUCUAUCGGGUAAAGCCAGUGAUAAGAGGCCUCAGGGAUGCAACGUCCUAGACGUAUUCUGAAACAUUAAACAGGUAGGACGUUGUGUCUGCUUUGUGUAUCCGCACCAUCGAAUCAAAUGCUCCAAGUAGGCCCUUUCUUAGUAAGCAUAACUAGUGAUGCAAGAUUAACCAUAAGAGCAGUAACGAUGUUGAAUUGCACUCUAACCUAGAAUGUGUUGAAUGUGUUGGUUGAUUAAGAUAGCAGGGUUGUCGUCGUGGAAGUAAAAAUAUGUUACUGAGUGUUUAAAAACUCAUGUUCCAAAUAAAAUAGACUAAAAAUAUAAAUGGAGCUUAAGUGUGAAACCUACAACUGAUCAUUAGGGCAAGUUCCAGACCCUUAUGAGUAGGAGGG